ACCAAAGUGGCGUGGAAGCCACUGCCAGGAAGCGAGAGCAAGAGAAAUGGAGAGGCAGUGGUGGGUCGUGGGUUCCCGUUCUCCAUGACGGAAAGCCCGCAUUUUGAGCCUCCAAACCCGCUCCGAUCUGUAUCAAAUUUUGAGAGGGAGUUCAAUUCGUGGAGAUGAGCAUCACUACGGAGUCGGAUUCCGAAUCCAAUGGUUGGAUUUUCGGAUUUUGGUGAGCAUUUAUUGUAGAAAAUCAUCUUCCUAGGCUAAACACUAAUGCUAUCAAGAACCGCUGGAACGACCAUUAGAAGAAGAGGCUUGCGAUUACAAGUUACCUUGAGCAACACCUUCUCCACCAUGAGCAGGACCUUCCCACGGAUGAUGAUGAGACCAGUGAUCACUCUCAUUAUCCCUAAUUUCAAAGGCAUGUACUUAGGACUUCAUAAGGCAUGUACUUGGGAUUCUCAUUAUCGCUAAUUUCAAAGAUAAGUACUUAGGACUCUCAUUUAUCCUUAAUUUAGCGAUUUCUUUAGCUAGUCAUGUGUUUAGGAAUUGAACUAAUUGCAUUUGGAUCAACAUAGGGAAUCAAAGAAGCAAACUCAGCCAUCAAUGCCGCAAGGUCAUCUCCCUGGACAAAGUGAUAACUAGUCUCAUCAUCCAUGAAAAGAUGUUGCUUAAGGUAGAGAAGGUGUCACUUAAGGUCACUUGUAGUAGCAGGCCUCUUCUUCAAGUGGUUGUUCCAGCGGUUCUUGAUAGCAUUAGCAGAUCGGCCAGGAAGAUGAUAUUUUGCCAUAGAUGCCCAGCUGCAACACAACACAGGAAGUCCUACCAUAGACUCAAGGUGUGUUUUAUAUUAUGUUGAUCAGGGUUUGUAGGUUGAUUUAUGAGUACUGAGUAGGAUUCUCAUAUGAUGAUAGUGCUAAUUCCUCUCAUCAUCUACUGCAUCAACUCCAUUCUCCAAUUUUCUUACUUCAACUCUUUUGAAAUGACCUUUAAUCACAUAAUUCAACCUUGGAGUA